GGGCAAUUCAUCAGUCUAAUGUCUUUGAGGGGCACGAGAAUGACCGCCAUCUAGCUUUGGACACUAGUGCGUUGGAGUCAAAAAUGUACAACUGUAUUGGAAAAAUGAUAUCAGUCUGUUUGGUGCAUGGAGGCAUUGGACCACAUUUCUUCUCUCAAAGGCUGUUUGACCACAUUUGUGGCACAUUGUCUCAACCUACCCUGGUUGAGGAAGUUGUUAACCAUUCAUUCAGAGAGCAGCUGAUCAAAAUUCAGGAUGCAAACACAGUCGUGGAGGCAAACGAAGCCAUUAUGCAGGCAGCAGAUACCCUGAGCAUUGUUGGAGCAUUAAGGCGUGUAACUACUCUGAAAGAGAGGGAUUCCCUUGUGCAAUCUGCUGCAGACAUCUUUGUAAAUGGCUGAAUGUGCACCUCAUUGCAACAGUAAGCAAGACCCUAAUUUUUUCUAUUAGAAAUCUUGCUGUAUUCUAAAAGUAUGACCAUAUUCUAAUUUCUUAAAGGUUUUUGGAAGGUUUGAAGACUCUUAAUGUAGUAGACGAGAUUCAGAAAAACCUUGCAGUCUUUCAUGAAUUGUCUGUGAGGAGAAACCACUCUCGG